rnacentral:rRNA from 1 species
GGGUUGUGAGGUUAAGCGACUAAGCGUACACGGUGGAUGCCCUGGCAGUCAGAGGCGAUGAAGGGCGUGCUAAUCUGCGAUAAGCGCCGGUAAGGUGAUAUGAACCGUUAUAACCGGCGAUACCCGAAUGGGGAAACCCAGUGUGACUCGUCACACUAUCAUUAACUGAAUCCAUAGGUUAAUGAGGCGAACCGGGGGAACUGAAACAUCUAAGUACCCCGAGGAAAAGAAAUCAACCGAGAUUCCCCCAGUAGCGGCGAGCGAACGGGGAGGAGCCCAGAGCCUGAAUCAGCAUGUGUGUUAGUGGAAGCGUCUGGAAAGGCGCGCGAUACAGGGUGACAGCCCCGUACACAAAAGCGCAUGUGCUGUGAGCUCGAUGAGUAGGGCGGGACACGUGGUAUCCUGUCUGAAUAUGGGGGGACCAUCCUCCAAGGCUAAAUACUCCUGACUGACCGAUAGUGAACCAGUACCGUGAGGGAAAGGCGAAAAGAACCCCGGCGAGGGGAGUGAAAAAGAACCUGAAACCGUGUACGUACAAGCAGUGGGAGCCCCACCACCAAAGCAUUUGCUGUACCGCGUUGACGGAGCGAAGCGACGUCAAACCGAUAAAACAGCAGUGUAAAGUGAGCCGCAGGGCGCUUUGCGCGACAGCGCAAAGGCAGGCGGUUUCGCGUAGCGAAAGCGAAUGCUUUGGGGUGGGGUGACUGCGUACCUUUUGUAUAAUGGGUCAGCGACUUAUAUUCUGUAGCAAGGUUAACCGAAUAGGGGAGCCGGAGGGAAACCGAGUCUUAAUUGGGCGUUAAGUUGCAGGGUAUAGACCCGAAACCCGGUGAUCUAGCCAUGGGCAGGUUGAAGGUUGGGUAACACUAACUGGAGGACC